UUGUCAGAGAUCAGCUGUGCUUCUCUGGCCUCAGCUCUGAAGUCCAACCCCUCCCAUCUGAGAGAGCUGGAGCUGAGUGACAACAACCUGCAGGAUUCAGAUGUGAAGCUGCUGUCUGAUCUUGUGGAGAGUCCACAAUGUGGACUGGAGACUCUGAGAUGGAGGUGAUCUCUGUCAGAGUGUAAGUGAUCAGAAAGGUGGUGUUGAGAGAGGAUCAGCUGUGUUCUGAUGAUCCAGAGAGGUUGAAGCAGCAGCAUCAGCUUGUUUGUGGAGAGGCUCUGACUGGGCCUUGUUACUGGGAGGUAGAGUGGAAAGGAGAGCUUCAUCCAGCAGUGACUGACAGAGGAAUCACAACAGUGCUGCAGUCUGAAGUCCACUGUCAGACACAAAGUCAAGUCCACCAUCAUCCCUGUGUGUUCCUCUGGAUGUGACAGAGUAUCAUCAGUGUAUCUGGUGUAUUUUUAUUUAUUUUCUUAUAUCUAUUUUCUAUAUCUAUUUAUCUAAAAUAAUUAUUUCUACCUCAAACAAAAUUCUAGUAUGAAAAAUAGAACAAUAAUAAGGAACAAUAAGGGUUAAUGUAAAGUCAAAUUAAAUGCAGCUCUGAAAAGAAUCAAUUUUCUCAAAAUGGAACAUAACUACAGUGCCUGCAAGGUACAAAGACCAGGAACUGCUGGUUUAACUGAGACAUACAUUUAGCAAUAGUGACACCUAGUGGCUCAUACAGGCAACUGUCUUACAUCUGUAAUAUUUUGCAGUCUUAUAAUCUUGCAGUGAGAGCUGUUGCUCUCACACUAAUAUUUGGCUAUUUACACACUCUGCACUUUAAUGUACUCCUCCUUUCCCAUUGAUGAUUACAUGUUGGACAAAUGGUGAGUUUUGGUCGAGUCACAAAACAGGAAGUUGUUGUAACUUAAGUGUACAUGCUACGCUAUUUAUUUCCCUAGAGGUAUUUAUUAAUAUAUUUGGUGAUUUACUCACUCCGCACUUUAACAUGCUAACUUAUUUAUUUCCCUAGAGGUAUUUAUUAAUAUAUUUUGCGAUUUACACACACUGCACUUUAAUGAUCUCCUGCUAGAUAAUUAUUAGUGUGAGAGCUGUGGCUUUCAUUGGCGAUUUACACAUGCUUUACAGUCCCACCUUGAACACAUCAAUAUGCCAACAUUCACUCAGUCAUAGCAUAAUGCUUCAUGCUGUUGUUACUUCUGUGCUGUGAUGAACCACAUAUUACAGGUUGGUCAUCUCUACUUCAAAACUAUCUCAGAAAAGUCACACAUUGAUGAUGUUAUGUUGUACAGCUUCUGAGUUUUCCUUCAACGGUGUAUGCUUGGCAGUCAAGUACCAUGCUUCGCCAUGAAACAGGAAGUUGUUAUAACAUUGCUUCACAUGUUUAAAUCAGUACCAAACUUUAUGUGAUUGAUAAUGGUCCUGCUCCCAACACAUCCACAAAAUUCAGUUAUAGUUAUAGUGCCACCUACUGGCAACAGGAAGUAAGCCCUGUGUGACACGCAUCAUGCGAUUAAGACAUUUUCUCAAUGUGUUUCACACAUGAUGUACUGGGGCGUAACGUAUAAUUACUGGGUGCUCCUUUGCGCACAGCUAGUGACUUUUAUGUAUUUUGCGCAGCUUCCAAAGUACGUGACAAUUUAGAGCAACAAUAUCUGACGCACUUCACUUGCGAGUGCCCAUCCAACGCUGAUUGCUGCUUUAAUAUUUAACUGAAUUAAUCUGUGGCAUGUGAUUCUUUUACCUGUAGGUAGCACUAAAGGAUUUUAAAUUGCUGAUGGAGCAGUACUUUGCAGCGGUAGCAUUCACAGCUAACAGCUGACAGCUCUCACACGCAUUUACUUUGGUAAAUGCCCAUUCUGGUUUCUUUCUCUCUUACAUUUUUGUAUGCAUUUCUGCAUCAUUAUGCAAAUGAGAGGGGCUGUGUCUCAAGGGUCCAACUUCUCGAUUAUUUGUUGUUUAACGUCGGACUCCAUAGGUCGACUCUACAAGCCUUGCUCCCCACAGUCACAACAGAGAUCAGUGAACUGCGUUUAUUACGUUUAUCAACUCUAUCAUUAAUGUGUGUACUCCUUUGGAGGUCUUUCUGUGAUAUAUCCUUGCCCCCCUACUUUUUUGUUUUGUUUGUUUUCUUGCUGUAUCCCCUCAUUAUAUGUAUAUUUGUAUCCAUUAUGUGCUGUAUGUGUCUUUUGCAUAUUAUUGUUAUGAUUCUUGUUAUAUGUAUAUGUAUGUAUUGAUAUUACCUUUCAACUAAUAAAGAUAAAAAAGCUGUAUUUGACAACAA